rnacentral:rRNA from 1 species
UGGGGAAUAUUGGACAAUGGGGGCAACCCUGAUCCAGCCAUGCCGCGUGAGUGAUGAAGGCCUUAGGGUUGUAAAGCUCUUUCACCGGUGAAGAUAAUGACGGUAACCGGAGAAGAAGCCCCGGCUAACCUCGUGCCAGCAGCCGCGGUAAUACGAAGGGGGCUAGCGUUGUUCGGAAUUACUGGGCGUAAAGCGCACGUAGGCGGAUUGUUAAGUCGAGGGUGAAAUCCCAGGGCUCAACCCUGGAACUGCCUUCGAUACUGGCAUUCUCGAGUCCGAGAGAGGUGAGUGGAAUUCCGAGUGUAGAGGUGAAAAUUCGUAGAUAUUCGGAAGAACACCAGUGGCGAAGGCGGCUCACUGGCUCGGAACUGACGCUGAGGUGCGAAAAGCGUGGGGAGCAAAACAGGAUUAGAUACCCUGGUAGUCCACGCCGUAAACGAUGGGUGCUAGCCGUUGGGCAGCUUGCUGUUCAGUGGCGCCGCUAACGCUUUAAGCACCCCGCCUGGGGAGUACGGUCGCAAGAUUAAAACUCAAAUGAUUGACGGGGUCAUAGCUGUUUCCU